GGGGAAUGGGGAGUAACUCCAACCCCUGUGACAUACCAAUUGUUGCCUCGGCGGAUCAGCCCGCUCCCGGUAAAACGGGACGGCCCGCCAGAGGACCCCUAAACUCUGUUUCUAUAUGUAACUUCUGAGUAAAACCAUAAAUAAAUCAAAACUUUCAACAACGGAUCUCUUGGUUCUGGCAUCGAUGAAGAACGCAGCAAAAUGCGAUAAGUAAUGUGAAUUGCAGAAUUCAGUGAAUCAUCGAAUCUUUGAACGCACAUUGCGCCCGCCAGUAUUCUGGCGGGCAUGCCUGUUCGAGCGUCAUUUCAACCCUCAAGCCCCCGGGUUUGGUGUUGGGGAUCGGCGAGCCCUUGCGGCAAGCCGGCCCCGAAAUCUAGUGGCGGUCUCGCUGCAGCUUCCAUUGCGUAGUAGUAAAACCCUCGCAACUGGUACGCGGCGCGGCCAAGCCGUUAAACCCCCAACUUCUGAAUGUUGACCUCGGAUCAGGUAGGAAUACCCGCUGAACUUAAGCAUAUCAAUAAGGCGGAGGAA
rnacentral:rRNA from 1 species